rnacentral:lncRNA from 1 species
CUGAUGGAGAUAUGGAUAGUCUCAAGUUUCAGUGUGAUGGCAGUGUUUCUCACUCAUUCAAAGUCUAUCAGGAUCUUCAUGACAGAAGAACAUCCUAGGGGAUUUGCUGCAAGGAUUUUGACACUGGAGCAUCUGGAUCCCACAGGAUGUGACCAGGGCUAAGCACUCCGCAUAUAGCUAAAUAAGGCUGUACGCGCUGUGGCUGCCAUGGUUUAUUGAACUAUGUAACUAUCAUUAAGCUGCUCUUACACUACAUAUUGACUUAUGGUUCAAUAUGAAGAGCCAUUCCAACACGGAACAGCUGAGUGUCCCUCCUGCCUUCCUGUAUUAGUCCUGCUUUGUAUCUGUUUCAUCGGAGGCUUCCAGAUUCCAUCAGGACAGGAUGCUGCUAUUACCUGGGGAAAUCUUAUGUAUUGGAAUAUGCAGGCAUCACAUCCUGAGAUGUAGUCUUCACUGUUUGACUUCUUAAAAGGAAAGUCUAAUAAACUCUAUUUCGAGUUGUUUUCAUAAAAAGCACGAAUUGUAAAUAUAUUACUUUCCCCAUCCAUGGAUACACCCCUAUGUUUCCUCUUGGAUUUAUGGUUAACAUUUUGCAUAUAAUUGUACACCUUUGGAAAUGGGGAGAAGUUUGCACAGACUAGCUGUUACACAUGUGUCCAACCGCCUUUUACCUCCACAAUCCCAUGUUUGAGGCACCAGAACAAAAUAAAACUGUCCCAGACACC